ACCAAUCAGCCAAUGAAAUGUUAACAGAUCAGCCAAUGAGGUGUCCUGUUAGAAGGAGAGUGACUCAAAAUGGAGGAAGAAGAACGGCUCCAAGGUCAGGAAACGGGGUCUGGAUUUUGGCCUCUGGAUCUUCAUUCCAUGCUGAAAAGUUCCUGGUUGUUGGUCUGAGUUCAGUCUGAAAGAUCAGUCUGAAGCGUCAUUCAGCUGGAUUUUCUGCAGCACAAAUAACCUUCCCAGAAUGCAAGACGCCAAGAAUCUCAUGGACUUAUUGAUCUUACACACCAGUUUUGCAUACAUUUGCAUAUUGAUGAGCAAGCAACCAAUCAGAGAAGCCAAUUAAAUAAAAAAAUUCAAACGAGUCUUUAUAAGGCUUGUGAUGUGAACGCUGUUCUCGACGACGGUGAAGACGAGAAAAAACACUAAUAAACAGGUAUUUCUACCACGAACGAGAAGCCUAGACACAUAGAGGAGAGUGUGUAACUGCGCCAUCUGCUGGUGAUGAGGAAGGACAAUGCGGAACUGCGCCGUCUGCUGGCGAUGAGGAGGGACAGUGCAGAACUGCGCCAUCUGCUGGCGAUGAGGAGGGACAGUGCAGAACUGCACCAUCUGCUGGUGAUGAGGAGGGACAGUGCAGAACUGUGCCAUCUGCUGGCGAUGAGGAGCAAAACAGUUUUUGACCGCUUUCAUUUUUUAUACUUUCAACUUGAAACGCUCAUUAGCGCCCUCUAGCGGUCAUUUUCGUGUCGGGCCAAAAUGCAGUAUUUGCGGUAACAACAACAAAAAAAGCCCAAAAGUACAAAAUAAACAAAUAGUUUUAAACUGAGAUUUUAACAUGAUUGUCUAACAUUACACUAUAUUAUGUUACUGAAAUACUUUAGCAGUACUAUUUGGAGUAAAUAUAGUAAAUUACAUGUACAAUACAAAUAUAGUUCAUUUUUUUCUUAUCUCACUGGAUGAGGGAGUGGCAUAACUUUCUGGAUGGCCAAAUCAAAGUUUGACAGAGCCGGUUUAUAAGGAGUCUGGUCUCUUCCAGUUUCCACCUUUAUCUCAAAAAAUAUCACUGCUAAACAGCAGAGGGUGCCCAAGAGCGGGUCCUCAGUGAACGGGGGUGAACGGAGCUAAACGGCUAAAAUCGAAAAGUUAAAACUGUUUCAAAUCAUUUACACAGAACACAGAAGAAAACCUCACCUGUACGUUUCCUUUUCUACAGCAAACAGACGCUGACAUUACCGGAUACUGAGCGACGACUGGUUAGCAUUACUGCUACUUAGCAUUUGCUAUUUCCCUGAGAGCUCUCUUCCUAAAACAGGAACAUAAAAAGUAUAGUGUUGUUACAAGUGUUUAUUGUAAGGCUAAAAGCAUUCAGUCUUCAUUUUUUACCGUAAGAGCUCCAGAGCUGGAACUGCCUUUUGGAACCAUCGCUUCCAUAAAUCAUCCUGGCACAAGAUGUGCCCAAAUGUGGGUAGAUGCACAACCUGGGAAUCUCAAAGACAAAUGUCCAAAAAAAAAGGCACUGUUCUGUAGGCUUUGUGGUUUGCUGGUAUAAAUCACGUUUCUACAACCAGAGAGUUGUUGGUUCAAGCCCCACUUUAGGGCUUUCAUUUGCAUGUCUUAAUCUGUGAAGAUGGCAAAAACAAAGACAAAUGUUAAAAAAAAGAAGGCUCUCUGUAGGCCCUUUGGCUUGCUG